AAAAAGGUAUAUAAGGGCACUAAUAGUGGAUGCCUUGACAAUCAACACCGAUGAAGGACGUAGGACUCUGCGAUAAGCCUCGGGGAUCUGAGAACGAGAAUUGAUCCGGGGAUUUCCGAAUGGGGAAACCUAGCAUAGGUCAUACUAUGUUGCCAUUAUCUGAACACAUAGGAUAAUGAGACGGGAACCAGCCGAACUGAAUCAUCUUAGUAGGUUGAGGAAAAAAGAAUAACCAAUGAUUCCGAAAGUAGUGGCGAGCGAAAUUGGAAUAGCCCAAACCUUAAGACAACCUAACGGUUUAACGGCCUGAGUUGUUAAAGGGGUUGCGAUUUAAGAUAUUUUUUAUGUAGAGCAGUCAACUUUAGUUUUACUUCUCUACAUAGAAACCAACAGCGUUAACUGAGUGGCAUAAGAUACAAUCCGUUGAUCAUAGCUGAAGCACUUGGAAUGGUGCGUCACAGAAGGUGAAAAUCCUGUAAGCGAAAUGGUCAUAGGCUUAUGAUAUCUUUAAUCAAGUAGGACGGGGCACGAGAAACCCUGUUUGAAUCCGGCAGGACCACCUGCCA
rnacentral:rRNA from 1 species